GGGCAUUUGGCACAGUGGUAGCGCGCACGCUUCGCAUUGUGCAUCUGCGUGAGGUCCAGGGUUCAAUCCCCUGAAUGUCCA